UGAGGCUUCACUUUCCAUCAAGAGAGGCCCCUUCCUGCACCCUGGGGAGGGAGGCUGUCCACAGGUAGGCCAGGCCUGGUCAGUGGUGCACGGCCUGAGUGGGGUGUGGGGGCACGGGACCCCUGGAAGGUGAGAGACCAAGAGCCUUAGCUGGUCUGGGGGCUGGUGUGGGGGCGAGCAGAGCCAGUUCGGCCCUUCCCAACAAGCGAGGAUGACCAUGACCUGGUUCCUGGAAGGGGUAACAAGGAGGUGAGCCACCUGCCCCCACCCCGCCCACUCCUUCCUCCACGGGCUCCUCCCUCAGUACCAUGGAAGGUGGGGGGCUUCGCAUUUCCCGGGGACCCUCAUUGCCCUCAGAGUCCUGGCCACCCUCACCCUCCUGACUUUGACCUGCUGCUGCCUAAAAAGCGGUGCCCACCCCCCGGACUUUCAGUGGCUCCCCCUGCCCACCGGCUCCCCCUGCCCCAGGCCUGCAGGCCCGGUGAAGUUUCGCUGGCAGGGCUGGGGGUGCCCUAUCCCCAGGAAGGCCUCAGCUGGUCUCCACCCAGUCUGAAUGAGGGGUGACUGGAAGCCCCCUCAGCGGGGUCCAGUCCCUCCUAGCUGCCUACCCCGCCAUCCCCUCCCUGAGGGCCUGAGGGGCACUAGAAGGGCCCUCAGCUUUGGAUAGAAGGAGGAGCCCCAGCCCACACUGCUUCAUAGAAGGGAGGAGUAUUUGCCUCGAACAUAAGUGCUCAGAACAACUGUUCUUGUAGCCUGAGUGACAGUGAAUCCAGGAGGGGAGGGCGGUGUAGACACAGGUGGGGCUCCUGAUCCGGCCCCACAGGUGUCAGGCGUGGAGGAGGGAGGGACUGGGCAGAAGCGGCCCGUCCCCAGCGUGGGGCUUGGGCUUCUUCCGGGAAACACCGAGGGAGGUAGCAGAGGCCGCUCCUCCCCGCUGGGCGGCACCCUCCCCUGCAGGGGUGGAUGGGCACCCCAAAGGUGGGGGCUGGUGGGGGCCAGAGCAGGUGAGGAGAGGGCUGGUGGAGGCCGGAGCAGGUGAGCAUCCAGCAGCUGGGGUCCCUGGGUCCUGGCAUGCCAUGCUGUCCUCAGGUCUCGCAGGGGGCAUGGCUUGGUGUCCGGCCUGUCCCCCAGGGGGGCCUUCCCUCGACCCCUGCACCCCUAGCAGAUCUGUGAGGUCCAGGCAGGCCUCUUCUCAGGACCCCAGUAAGGGCCACUCGGGCACCCCACACAGCCCACAAGGCUUCCUGCCUUAGACUGGGCAGUACCAGGGAGAGUGGGGCCCACAGGGACUUGUCUGGAACCACACGGCUGGCAGGGGCACAGCCCAGUGGGGUCCCUCCAAGCCAGGGCACUUCCACAGGCAGGCCCCCAACACCCCUUCCCUGUGUGGCGCUCAUCCCAGGUCAGGGAGGGGAUUGGUGGUUAGUGAGGGGUGGGCUGGGAGCUGUGGCCAGCGGGAUUCUGAGGUGGCCCUGAGAUUCCCCCUCGGGGUCUCUGUGCUCUGUGACCCCCUCCCUAGAGUAUGGGCCACCUCUCCUGUGAUCGGAUUGUUCUGUGGCACCGGUGGAGGGCCUUUUUCCUGUUUUUCUUUUUGCCUCUCCUGUGGUGUUGCAGUGAAGGGGUUUCUGCAGGUGUAACCGGAGGUUCUAAUCAGGUGACUUGGAGUUAAUCAGAAGGGAGGUUGAUCUGGCUAAGCCUGGCUAGCUCAGGUGCAGCCUUUAAGAGGCUAGAAACUGCAGAGCCGCCCCCUCCUGAUGCCAAAGAAGCAUAUGACCAUCGGCUCCACAGCUGCAAGAAAAAGAUUCUGCACACAACGACAAGCGCUCAGGAGAGGACCUCAGGCCUCGGUUGAGAUCCCAGCCCUAGCUGACACCUCGAGUGCAGCCUGUGAGACCCUGAGCAGAGGUUCAGCAGUCCCCUCCCCGGACUCCUGCCACACAGAAGCCAUGAGGCAUCCCCGCCACACACUAGUCUUGGUGACUGCGCUCGAAGGACUCACAGGACUUGGUCUACCGUCAUGCUCAUGGCUGAGAUUUACUACAGUGAAAAGAUGCGACGUGGAAUUAGCAACAGGAAAAUGCACUUGGGGUGAGGGCCGGAGGAAACCAGAACCAAGGAAGCACACCUUCUUAACGAUGCUCUCAAGGCUGUGAGGAGAAAGACAACCAGUGGGAAUUCAACGCAUCAAUUACCUUCUAUAGUAACAUGAGCUACUAGAGCCCCUAAGAGUCGAUCUUCAGCUGCUGUCAUGGAAAGUACUGGGGGUCAACUAGACAUCAAAGAUGAGAGGCCAGGCCUCCAGCACAACUUUUUGUUUAAGCUCAUUUAGUGGCUUUCUCAAAGAAGCCCUUUUUUCAAAAAAAUUUUUGUAAAGAUGGGGUCUUGUUCUGUCACACAGG